UUUGUCUUGAGUUGGCGCAUUCAAAAUAUCAAUACGUAGCGCUUCUCCUUGAUCUUAAUUUGAUUUGUGGCUAUAUUAAUUAAAAUUAAUACUACCUAAUUAUGACUAUUAAUUUCAUUAAUAUCAAUAUAUCAUCAUCAUCAACUCAAUUUAUCUUCAUUCGUUGUUCGAGUUUAAUAUUCUUCAAACCAGCUGAAGGAUUUUGCAAUGUCGAGUGGCUUAGGGUUUGUGCACCAAUGCUCGAAUCCGCUGAUAGCGCUUCGAUCGCCGAGACACUCCAUCCCCAUCCCUGCAAGGGGGUUGAUCGUGAGCAGGGGCGUUGCUUGCCGCUUGAAGGCAUUGAAGUCUGUUCCAAAUUCAGACACGGUUGUGGUAGCUGAUGAGAGUUAUGGGCGCAAGGAAGUCAUUAGUGUGAAUCCUCGGCUGUAUGACUACUUAUUGGCUAAUACCAGAGAGCCUAAGAUACUGCGUGAGCUCCGAGAGGAAACUGCUACUAGGCAUGGCAGCCAGAUGCAGGUAUCUCCUGAUCAAGCACAGCUUCUUGCAAUGCUUGUCCAGAUUAUGGGAGCAGAGAAGUGUAUCGAAGUUGGUGUCUACACUGGUUACUCAUCCCUUGCAGUUGCUUUGGUACUACCAGAAGGAGGUCAGCUGGUGGCAUGCGAGAGAGACGCAAAAUCUCUAGAAGUUGCACAAAGGUACUAUGAUCGUGCAGGUGUUUCAGAGAAGGUGAUUGUCAAACAUGGGUUAGCAGCUGAUACUCUGAAGUCCUUGGUUCAGAAUGGCGAAGCUAGCAGCUAUGAUUUUGCUUUUGUUGAUGCUGAGAAGAAAAUGUACCAGGAUUAUUUUGAAUUGCUACUGCAACUGGUGAGAGUCGGAGGUGUUAUAGUGAUGGACAACGUCCUCUGGCACGGAAGGGUCGCUGAUCCACUGAUAAAUGACUCGAAGACGAUCAGUAUCAGAAACUUCAAUAGAAAAUUGAUGGAGGAUGAUCGUGUAAGCAUUAGCAUGGUUCCCAUUGGUGAUGGAAUGACCAUUUGUCGGAAAAGAUAGAGCUCGAAGGCUACCACUGUGUCGCGUAUCUACAAAUCAUCCACCAGAGUUUUCAAGUUAACACGCCCAGGUUUGGUCAUGGAAACCUAAGAACAGUGGCUCGACAGCUUCGUAGAAAGGUGAAGUAUUGCCAUGCACGAGGUGCGAAACCAACAAGCACGAUGUGAUGAACAAGGAGAAUCUCUUGUGCGAGGUUCAAGCUUCGACUAAUUCUUGAGGGCAAUCGAGCAAAGUGCAUAUGAAUGGCGGACACAGAAAAAAAAUGUUGGUCUACAGGAGAGGAGAUCGGGAGGUCGUUUGGCCAUCAAAUCCGGAAGAAUAGCGAGAAAGAUUUUGAAGUAGGGCUAGGCACAAAUAUCUCGGCAGCUUUUGUUAUGAAGAUUUGUUUUCAUUGUUUAUUUCAAUUUCCACAUAG